rnacentral:tRNA from 1 species
CGGAGCCGUCGCGCGGCGGUGCCGGGCGAUCUCCCGGAGCGCCUUCCGCGUCGGCGGAUCGUGCAGGGCCAGUUCCUCCAGCAGCUCCGGC